UACGGAGGGGGCUAGCGUUAAUCGGAAUUACUGGGCGUAAAGCGUGCGCAGGCGGCGCGUUAAGACAGGUGUGAAAGCCCCGAGCUUAACUUGGGAAUUGCGCUUGUGACUGGCGUGCUGGAGUGUGGCAGAGGGAGGUGGAAUUCCACGUGUAGCAGUGAAAUGCGUAGAGAUGUGGAGGAACACCGAUGGCGAAGGCAGCCUCCUGGGCCAGCACUGACGCUCAUGCACGAAAGCGUGGGGAGCAAACAGG
rnacentral:rRNA from 1 species